CCGCUUUCUUCACCAAGGACGUAUGUAGAUAGUGUCGGGACGUUAGGGAACAAAUUUGUCCAAUACAGAUAGUCGCUCCGUUUGUUGGAGACGUAGUCGAGAGGCGUCUUCAAUGAACGGACAUACAUGCUCGACACUUCUGGAAAUUUGGCUGUUCAUGUGGAUACCCCUGUAAAAGGCGUCCCAUAUGUGAAGAGGUUAAGCCGUUGACACAUUACUUCCUUUUUGGGGUUCCUUUUUAAGAUGACGUCAUCGAUCACGUGCGUGAUCA
rnacentral:lncRNA from 1 species